AUGAUUAAGAUUGACCUUGCAAAAGCUUUUGACCGUAUAGAGUGGAACUUCAUCGUGUCUGCUCUCUCUCGUAAAGGGCUUCAUGGUCAUUUCAUUAACCUCACAUAUGCGGGCAUAUCUUCCCUCGUUUUCUCUAUGAUCAUUAACGGUCAAUCUUAUGGUAGAUUUUGCAAUAAUGGAAUCAGGCAAGGUUGUCCUCUGCUUCCUUAUAUUUUUGUCCUUUCCAUAAACGAGUUGUCUAGCUCUCCUCGGGAAGCCAUGGCAAACAAUCAGUUGGUUGGCAUCACUCUUGGUCCAAAUCGCCCUCUGAUUCAUUCUCUCAUGUUCAUUGGUGACCUGCUCAUUUGGGGCCAGGUAAGUACCUCAAGCUUCGACUAUGAAGGAUCUUCUUAA
rnacentral:rRNA from 1 species